GCAAACUUGGUCAUUUAGAGGAAGUAAAAGUCGUAACAAGGUUUCCGUAGGUGAACCUGCGGAAGGAUCAUUACUGAAUAAACUUGGAGUAGAUUGUUGCUGGCUUUUUCAAAAGCAUGUGCACGUCUUCACCAUUUUUAAAACCACCUGUGCACUUUGUAUAGAUCUUGAAUAACAUCAUCGAAAAGUGAUCAACCUUUUCGGACUGAAAAAUUGCUUGCAUUAUGUUAAGCUUUUCUUGUAUUCAGAUCUAUAUCUUUUUAAUACAUAUACACCAUACAAAUGUAUUAGAGCAUAUUGUUGAAUAGGCCUCUUUGUGCCUGUAAAACAAAAAAUACAACUUUCAACAACGGAUCUCUUGGCUCUCGCAUCGAUGAAGAACGCAGC
rnacentral:misc_RNA from 1 species